rnacentral:rRNA from 1 species
UACGAAGGGGGCUAGCGUUGCUCGGAAUCACUGGGCGUAAAGGGUGCGUAGGCGGGUCUUUAAGUCAGGGGGGAAAUCCUGGAGCUCAACUCCAGAACUGCCUUUGAUACUGAGAAGCUCGAGUCCGGGAGAGGUGAGUGGAACUGCGAGUGUAGAGGUGAAAUUCGUAGAUAUUCGCAAGAACACCAGUGGCGAAGGCGGCUCACUGGCCCGGUACUGACGCUGAGGUGCGAAAGCGUGGGGAGCAAACAGG